rnacentral:lncRNA from 1 species
GAACAUAGUAUCUGGACUACAGAACCUGGAAUAACCCAGACAGCUUAAAGAAAAAGAAAACCUACUACCAGAACUUCCAGUCAUUGACUUCUGCCCGUGGUCAAGCGAACUGCACAUUUACUUUGCUCAACCCUUCUCCUACUUCAACCAUAUUUACCUCAGUGGAUAACCUUUUGAACCCCUUUCCCAUGUCUCCAUCCGCACCACUUAAUGACCCAAGAACUUUGACGACAGGGGCUUGUUAUCUAUCCCUUUCAAGUGAACAACACUUACUCACUAGUUGGCUUUUAAUUCAAAUUGGUUUUACUAGAACGGAUCAUCA